UUUUUUUUUUUGGCACAGAAGAGAGAGGACACCCCCCCGCCCCCAACACCCCCUCCUGCCAGGGCCUUGGCCUUAGUAAGGACAGAAUGGCCAGCUCAGGCAGGAUGUCCUCGGAUCAAGCUUCAGUGGAGAUGGUGCUUUCAAGAUGAAGGUUGACAGCACAAUUGUUCAAAACGUGAAGAGACUCUUUGGAAUGUGCUUUUUAUUCAUGGAGUACCUUUAUCCCAAGUCCCUGACACGCGGGUUUCAUGGAAGUAAUCUCACUUGACCCCCACAACAGUCCCUGAAAGGCCAAUGCUAGAGCCAUUUGCAAGUUAAGAAUCUGAGUCUCCGAAUAAGGGAGUUACCUAAGCUUUCUAUCCAGGGAGUAGUUGGAGCCACAAACCCACAGACCAAAGCCUAUGGUCUCUGGAACACUUCACUACCGCCGGAGGAUGGUCACGUGGUAGAAAUGAGGGUGACGUGGGGCUGAGGAUUUUAUAUGCUUGAUUCCAUCCAAUCUUUGCAGCUGCACAUCAUUACUAUAAUCUCUAUUGCCCACAUGAGGAAAUCAAGACUUGGAAAGUAAAUGACUUAGGAAUCUAAAUCUGCCUGACACAGUCUGCACCUGUAUCAUUACGCCUCCUUCCUUGGGACGAGAGAAUGAGGUGGCAGGAUGUUAGGCUAAAAGACCAGCUAAGAGAGGGAGUGGAAGAACCGAAGGACCAGGAAGCGAAGGAUUACAAGUCUCGAAAGACAUGUUUUCUAGCCCGAGCAGGAGAGCAGCUCCCUGGAUAUACAGGGAUUGGAGAGAAUAUGGGCGAAGUCAGACUUUAUACUUGUACAGAAGAUGAUGCAAUAUAUAGCAACCCAGAAACCGAAAUGACACAGUUAACAAUGCCCUGAUGACAACGAUGAGACUCUUCGUCUUAACCGUUCCUCACAGUAUCACUGCAGACUCAGUCGUUCCGCGAUAUGCUCAGACACACCUGCCGUUCUUUCCCACGCUUACCUCAGUGAUAUGUUCAUCAUGCUCAUCAAAGGGUUUCCCAUCCUUCCGGUUGUAAAACGUAGCUACACCCACGAUGUCUUCUUUCUUGUUGACAAUAGGCAGGGACAAGACAUUUUUAAUGACCCAGCCAGUCUCAUCUACCGGUCCUUUCUAUAAACAAUAAGGGAGAGUGUUACUUUAAUAUCUUCACUUUUUAAUUUUCAAAACAAAUAUAGAUUUGCAAGAUCUUUCAAAAGAA